rnacentral:rRNA from 1 species
AUUGAACGCUGGCGGAAUGCUUUACACAUGCAAGUCGAACGGCAGCACGGGGGCAGCCCUGGUGGCGAGUGGCGAACGGGUGAGUAAUACAUCGGAACGUGCCCGGUCGUGGGGGAUAACGUAGCGAAAGUUACGCUAAUACCGCAUACGAUCUGAGGAUGAAAGCGGGGGACCUUCGGGCCUCGCGCGAUCGGAGCGGCCGAUGUCAGAUUAGGUAGUUGGUGGGGUAAAGGCCUACCAAGCCGACGAUCUGUAGCUGGUCUGAGAGGACGACCAGCCACACUGGGACUGAGACACGGCCCAGACUCCUACGGGAGGCAGCAGUGGGGAAUUUUGGACAAUGGGCGCAAGCCUGAUCCAGCCAUUCCGCGUGCAGGACGAAGGCCUUCGGGUUGUAAACUGCUUUUGUACGGAACGAAAAGGCUCUGGCUAAUACCUGGGGCUCAUGACGGUACCGUAAGGAUAAGCACCAGCUAACUACGUG